UACAGAGGGGGCAAGCGUUGUUCGGAAUUACUGGGCGUAAAGGGUGCGCAGGCCGCGCGGGCAGUCAAAUGUGUAAUUCAGGGGCUCAACCCCUGCACUGCGCUUGAUACUUCCGCGCUCGAGCUUUGGAGAGGAGUCUGGAAUUCUCGGUGUAGCAGUGAAAUGCGUAGAUAUCGUGAGGAAGACCAGUGGCGAAGGCGGGUCUCUGGACAGUUCCUGACACUGAGGCACGAAGGCCAGGGGAGCAAACGGG
rnacentral:rRNA from 1 species